rnacentral:rRNA from 1 species
AGCCUGAUCCAGCCAUGCCGCGUGUGUGAAGAAGGUCUUCGGAUUGUAAAGCACUUUAAGUUGGGAGGAAGGGCAGUAAGUUAAUACCUUGCUGUUUUGAAGUUACCGACAGAAUAAGCACCGGCUAACUUCGUGCCAGCAGCCGCGGUAAUACGAAGGGUGCAAGCGUUAAUCGGAAUUACUGGGCGUAAAGCGCGCGUAGGUGGUUCGUUAAGUUGGAUGUGAAAGCCCCGGGCUCAACCUGGGAACUGCAUCCAAAACUGGCGAGCUAGAGUACGGUAGAGGGURGUGGAAUUUCCUGUGUAGCGGUGAAAUGCGUAGAUWUAKGAGGGAACACCAGUGGCGAAGGCGACCACCUGGACUGAUACUGACACUGAGGUGCGAAAGCGUGGGG